GACGAACGCUGGCGGCGUGCUUAACACAUGCAAGUCGAACGGUGAAGGACGGAGCUUGCUCCGACCGGAUCAGUGGCGAACGGGUGAGUAACACGUGAGUAACCUGCCCCAGACUCUGGAAUAACCCCGGGAAACCGGAGCUAAUACCGGAUACGAGACGGAGAGGCAUCUCUACCGUCUGGAAAGUUUUUCGGUCUGGGAUGGACUCGCGGCCUAUCAGCUAGCUGGUGAGGUAAUGGCUCACCAAGGCGACGACGGGUAGCCGGCCUGAGAGGGCGACCGGCCACACUGGGACUGAGACACGGCCCAGACUCCUACGGGAGGCAGCAGUGGGGAAUAUUGCACAAUGGGCGAAAGCCUGAUGCAGCGACGCCGCGUGAGGGAUGACGGCCUUCGGGUUGUAAACCUCUUUCAGCAGGGAAGAAGCGAAAGUGACGGUACCUGCAGAAGAAGCACCGGCUAACUACGUGCCAGCAGCCGCAGUAAUAC
rnacentral:rRNA from 1 species